UGUGCACAAAGUAGCCGGAGCUGGUAAUAAAGGCUCGGAUGAAAGCACGCAAAAGAGGACAAAGGGUCAAUGUUAUACAGCUCGAGCGGCCCCCAAAGCUCCACGCUGACAGCAGAGAGGAGGAGGAGGAACCUCUUGCAAAGCUCCUUCGUGUGGAGCAGUCUCGGAGUCGAGGGGGACCGUUUUAGGAAGCAGAGCCAACUUUCCUUUAACUUCAAAUUACCCGAGGCAAGACUGUUCUCCAAACCCCGGUACAGCAGAGGAGGACACUAAAAAUAAAACUACUGGGGCAGG